rnacentral:lncRNA from 1 species
GUCUUUGCCGGUAUGUUGAUUUAAACAGCUGGUUUUCCCUGUGUCUGAGCAUGAAGCGCAUCAAGCCACGAGCAGCUCUGCUUCCAUAUGGGUCCUUGUAGAAACCCUUGAUCCCCUGGCUCACUAGGGGUUAUGCCACAUCUGGGCUGGUGAGUCUAGGUACUAUAGGAAAGCAGGCAGAGCAAGCCUGUAAGUAGCAUUCUUCCAUAGCCUCUAUACCAGGUUCCUGCCCUGUUUGAGUUCCUGUCCUGACUUCCCAUCGUGAUGAACUGUGAUGUGGAGGGCAGGUGGCAGAGACGAUGCUCCUAUCAGCUUCUUGUUGUUCCUGACAGAGGAGUAUGAAGCAAUGAGAGGCCUCGGGCUCUCGGCUGCUGCAAGAUGGCAGGAGGAGGCUUGCUUGCAAUGACAGACGGGAGAUGGGGAAAGCUCUUCCUGUAUUUCCUAGGUCAAGAUCUUGCUGUCCUGAAUCAGUUCUGGCUGAUCCCGACUUCACUAUUCUCAGUCCUCCCUGUGUUGGGACUAUAGGUGUAUGCCAACAUCUAUUGCAAGAUUGAUAUCUAUCUAUCUAUCUAUCUAUCUAUCUAUCUAUCUACCUAUCUAUUUCUAUUUUUAAUUAAAGAGCUGACUAUGUGUCAUGCAAUAGCCCAGGAGCUUCGCCUAUAUCAACACAUUCAACGCUGUUGGUGGAAACCAGGCUGUGUCUGGCUCUGAGUUCAGGCAGUCUGUGUCGUUCAGAUAGUGCUCCUUGGGCUUUGCUUGCCAUGAGUGACUCUAGCCUACAGAACAGUAGUUCACUCCACUUUGAGAGCAAAGGCUGAGGAAGAUGACUCCAUUGUUUGUUUAUGCAAAUGAGCAGCCAACCACUGUCCAGCACUGAGCCACAGCUUACUCAGUCACAUGGGUAGAGUUCUAAUGCACUAAUACCUAUGAAGGUCAGUUAAACCAGUGGACCAUGGGAACAUUGCCUAUCAAAACCACAUCACAACCUCCCAGGCUUCUACAACUUUCAAAGACACCAGACCAACCAUUGAUGUAACCUCUUGGCCUGUAUCAUAUAAAAAUGUGGCACCUCAUACUGACAUCCAAAGGCUUGUUUUCAGAGCAUCCUGUGCACCCAUCAUGGGAUUGGCAAGGGCUCUACAGGUGAUGAAAUUCGGACUUUACACCCGGGAUUUCUGCACAGCAUGAUACCCUCCCUGAGGUAACCCACUUUCUGGACCCAGCUCUUUAUCUUGAACCAUCUCUGCAAGCAUCAAAGAUCAGCCCUUGAUGUCUAUUGCUGUCUUAUCUAAGUACUUAUAGCAAUGCCUGCUUCUGCCUCUCCCAGGUCCCUUCAAGUCCAGUGGUUUCUUCAAUCUGUUCUUACCCGUGCUGUAGCCUGUGUAUGAUGAGACAUGCCAUGUUUAACGUGUGUUAUAUUAGUAUCUAGGUUUGAAAUGAAGAACCUGUGUUUGCCAAAGACCGUACUGCCAAGAGAGACCAGACAGUGAAUUAAAAGCAAUGGUAUAGACUUAGCUUGUCAAUUCAGUGUAAUUUAAUAACCUUGACAUUAUGGAAAGGCGCAAAUGUGCCACUUAUAUUUCUGACAUAGUAUGCUCAUAGCAAGUAUGAGCUCAACUCCACUUUGCAGAUGAGAAAGGAGAGGUUUGGGAGAUCGUUCAGUAACUUCAGCUAUUAAAUGGUAAAGGCAGCAUUUGGAUCCAGGGUACAUAGUACGGGAAGAGUAGUAUAUUCCACCCAUCUGCCUUUUGUGGGAUGGAUAGGACCUCCCAUAUGCUAGGCAAGUACUUUCCCACUAUGCUUCAAUCUAGUCCCCAGUUUUUAAAUGAAACACCAAAAAGUAUAGCCAGUUCCCAGUGCUUCCACUAGCCAUGGCUAUCAGAGACUGGAUUAGGGAGUAAAUGGAGCCAUAAUGCGGAAAGCUGCCUGGCCUCUUCCCCCUUCUAUCUCUAGUCCUGAAUCCUAUUGCUGAGACAGAUACUGUCUAAUUAAGUGUUAGGCAGUGAGUGACUUGGGGACCUUUCAGGGCAUUAAGAGGGACUUCCUCCCUGAGAAGCUGUCAAGGUUAAUAUGGAGAGACUUCCUAUGGCUGAAACAAAUACAUGGGGGGUGGGGUGGGGAAGGUGCUCACCAGAGCAGAUCCUAACACAAUGGAAAUGCACACUAAAAUAGGAUUGUGCGUAAAGGUUUCGGGACUGAAUGUAAAUCACCCUUAAGAACUCAGGUGAUCUUCGUUCUUGAGUUUCAUGUGUUUUGCAAAUUGUAUCUUGUAUGUUGGGUAUUCUAAGUUUCUGGGCUAAUAUCCACUUAUCAGUGAGUACAUGUCAUGUGAGUUCUUUUGUGAUUGGGGGGGAAGGUAUGGGGGACUUUUGGGGUAGUAUUGGAAAUGUAAAUGAAGAAAAUACCUAAUUAAAAUAAAAUAAAAAGUAAAUAAAAAAAUAAAAGGAAAAAAGAA